rnacentral:lncRNA from 1 species
AAGAUGACUCAAGUGUGUCCUUUGGAAUAGCAAUAAGCAGUCAAAAUAAGCAAACAAAUGAUAUCGGAUGCCACUCAAUGGCCUUACUCCAAUCUCACAAACAAAAGCGGAUACCGGAUACCAAUAGAUGGAUUUACACCAAUCUCCUAAACAAAGAAACCAGGAUGUCGGAAGCCAAUAGAUGGACUUACUCCAAUCUCCUAAAACAAAACGAAACUUGGAUACCGGAUGCCAAU